rnacentral:rRNA from 1 species
ACGGAAGGCAGCAGUGGGGAAUAUUGGGCAAUGGGCGCAAGCCUGACCCAGCGACGCCGCGUGAGGGAAGAAGGUCUUCGGAUUGUAAACCUCUUUCAGCAGGGAAGACCAGGAGACGGUACCUGCAGAAGAAGUCACGGCUAACUACGUGCCAGCAGCCGCGGUAAUACGUAGGUGGCGAGCGUUAUCCGGAAUUACUGGGUGUAAAGGGUGUGUAGGCGGAGAGGCAAGUCAGGCGUGAAAUACUCGGGCUCAACCCGGGAACUGCGCUUGAAACUGUUUCCCUUGAGAGUGGGAGAGGUAAACGGAAUUCCUGGUGUAGUAGUGAAAUGCGUAGAUAUCAGGAGGAACACCGGUGGCGAAGGCGGUUUACUGGACGAUAACUGACGCUGAGGCUCGAAAGCGUGGGGAGCAAACAGGAUUAGAUACCCUGGUA